rnacentral:sRNA from 7 species
UAUUCUGCCCUACGGGGAAGGAUGAGAAGCUUUGACCAAGGUUCGACUCGAGCGUAGCGAGAGAACGUUGCCACAGGCAACGGCCCGAAGGGCGAGGCGCUUUAGCGCCAAGUUAUCCUUCCCCCACUACUG